rnacentral:rRNA from 1 species
UACGGGGGGAGCAAGCGUUGUUCGGAAUUACUGGGCGUAAAGCGCACGUAGGCGGAUUUGUUAGUCAGGGGUGAAAUCCCGGGGCUCAACCUCGGAACUGCCUUUGAUACUGCAAGUCUCGAGUCCGAUAGAGGUGGGUGGAAUUCCUAGUGUAGAGGUGAAAUGCGUAGAUAUCUGGAGGAAUACCGGUGGCGAAGGCGGCAUCCUGGACCGGCAUUGACGCUGAUGAGCGAAAGCUAGGGGAGCAAACGGG